rnacentral:rRNA from 1 species
AAAUUGAAGAGUUUGAUCAUGGCUCAGAUUGAACGCUGGCGGCAGGCCUAACACAUGCAAGUCGAACGGUAACAGGAAGCAGCUUGCUGUUUCGCUGACGAGUGGCGGACGGGUGAGUAAUGUCUGGGAAACUGCCUGAUGGAGGGGGAUAACUACUGGAAACGGUAGCUAAUACCGCAUAACGUCGCAAGACCAAAGAGGGGGACCUUCGGGCCUCUUGCCAUCGGAUGUGCCCAGAU